rnacentral:rRNA from 1 species
AGCUCCAAUAGCGUAUAUUAAAGUUGUUGCAGUUAAAAAGCUCGUAGUUGAAUUUCUGGCCAAUCUCAUGCUGCGCUAUACGCCGGUAUGCGGUUUGGUCAUCCGUAGGGGAAGCCAGUUCGGUCUUCACUGGUCGGCUGGGGGAACCUACAAUUUACUGUGAAAAAAUUAGAGUGUUUCAGGCAGGCAAUCGCUUGGAUACUCCAGCAUGGAAUAAUGGAAUAGGACUUUGAUCUAUUUGUUGGUUUGAGAUCAAAGUAAUGAUUAAUAGGGACAGUUGGGGGCAUUCGUAUUUAAUUGUCAGAGGUGAAAUUCUUGGAUUUAUUAAAGACGGACUUAUGCGAAAGCAUUUGCCAAGGAUGUUUUCA